GUCAUAGAACAACCAUUCUUUUAUAAGUACAUAUAAGUACAUAAAACAACAUUUGUGUUUAAUACAAGCGGAACCCACAUAUGUGGUAUUUUUCCACAGUACGUUAACUAAAAUCCUUUCUUCCAAAUAAUGUUGUUGGUAAACUGAUAACUUUAUAAGUUGCAAUAUAUUUGUAAUAGCAUUUUUGUCGUGUGCAGAUAGACGAAUGCCCCUCCAACUGCGGAUCGGUUAUCAAUUCUCUUACCUGCUUAUUCCGGCUUAGUCGGUUCAGCGCUGUGCCGUGGAGCGCACGUGUUUUGUUCUUUAAUCAAACAUGGUGACGAUUUUACGCGUGUCUUAAUAUUUUAAUUCUGUAGUAAUACUAGAAUCGGUUGACCAUCAGAGACAUUUAGUAGUAACAGCCCAGUGUAGCCACAACGAGUAAUUUAAGUGAUCCUUUACGAUGCGUGCGCGGCGUCCGUCGGAUAUGUUCCGAUGCCCAUGUGUUUGAUGUGAGAACAAGUUUUCCAUUUGCGAUAUCCGCGUGGAAUAGUAAAGUAGUGUGUAUCAUCAAUUCUACUUACAAUUUGCGAAAUGGUGUUUGUGCGCUUUAGUUUUUUAUGGAUGGAAGAACAAAGAAGUAUCAUUACUGCUUAAUAACAAUUGUAAAUGAUUCAGUCAAUAAAGGAUAAUUUAAUUUCA